UCUGAGACUUUCGAAUGGAUCAAAAAGACCAGACAAUGGACAAAAGAAACAAUGCAAGAGUGAUUGGUGCACUCAAAUGUUUCAGCUGAAAUAAGUUAUGUAAAGAUUAAGACCUUCACUAAAAAUAUUGCAAUAAUUAUCGUCUAAUAAUGCUAUGUACUGCACCAUGUAGCUGAUCCCAGGUGCAGUUUCUUACACUUGUCCUUGUUGAACUUCAUGAGGUUCACAUGGACUCACCUCUCAAGCCUGUCACUGUGCACCUAGAUGGCAUCUCUUCCCUCUAAAGUAUCAACU